UAAAAAUUGUGUAUAUAUCAAAUAUGACAAGAAAAAUACACUUCUCAAUUUAAUGCUUUGAAUUUGGGCCUCUUUAAGCUCCUGGUCUUUUUGACAAUGCCUUCAGCACGUCAUAACAACAGUGCUCCUCCAUUAUGUUGUUUACAACUAUUAUGGUUGUAAACAACAUAACAGAGCAUUGAACUGAGUAGUAGUUUGUAUGAUUAGCUCAGCAGAUGUACAAAUUCACCAGGUAUUUGCUAAUUGCUACUGACUACUCUGAAGGAGCUGAGUGGGGAGUCGCCUUAAAAUGCAUUCACUGGUCAAUCUCCAAUUUAAUCAAAUGUCUCAGUUAACCUAUCAGAAGCUUUUAAUGCUUCUGAUGGGUGAUGACAUCAGAUGAUGAUGUCAUCUGAGAUUUCCCUCAUUGUUAGACAGAUAGUAAUAAUUCUGUAUAUAAAACGAUAUUGACAUUAACAAAUACUUUUCUGACAUAUUCUGGUUGUCAUUAUUGUAGUAUUUAAGUAAUAGAAAUAUGAUGUAACUUCAAACAGGGAGAAAAAAAUGUAUUUUUAUUAGAUACAUGUAAACUUCUGGUUUACAUGUAUGGGUUAACUGUAUGUGCUAAUACAGUUAACCCAUAUUAUUUCCUGUCACAACAAUGAAUUGUGCUGUUUCAGAAGUUAUUGCAAUAAACAAUAAUAUUGCUGUUUUGAGCCCAUUUUCAAAUAAUAUAAAAGUAAUGGCAUAUUGCCAGUUCACAAUCUCAAAGAUCAAUAAACCUUAAUUUCUAAUGAACAUUUUACAUAUUUGUCAUGCAUUCUUUGGUAGAAAAGAGUGAGAAGCUUUAUCAUGCGGUAAUUUUUUUUUUGCUGCUUAUGUGUUAGGCUAUAACAUAAAGUACCAAUACAAUGUUUUGUUUGCAACACAAUCAAAUU